rnacentral:rRNA from 1 species
UACGUAGGGACCGAGCGUUGUCCGGAUUCAUUGGGCGUAAAGAGCUCGUAGGCGGCUGCUCAAGUCGAAUGUGAAAACUCGAGGCUCAACCUCGAGCCUGCAUUCGAUACUGGGCGGCUAGAGUCUGGUAGGGGGAUCUGGAAUUCCUGGUGUAGCGGUGGAAUGCGCAGAUAUCAGGAAGAACACCCGUGGCGAAGGCGGUUCUCUGGAACGCAACUGACGCUGAGACGCGAAAGCGUGGGGAGCAAACAGG